rnacentral:rRNA from 1 species
GACGAACGCUGGCGGCGUGCUUAACACAUGCAAGUCGAACGGAAAGGCCCUGCUUUUGUGGGGUGCUCGAUUGGCGAACGGGUGAGUAACACGUGAGUAACCUGCCCUUGACUUUGGGAUAACUUCAGGAAACUGGGGCUAAUACCGGCUAGGAGCUCCUGCUGCAUGGUGGGCGUUGGAAAGUUUCGGCGGUUGUGGAUGGACUCGCGGCUUAUCAGCUUGUUGGUGAGGUAGUGGCUUACCAAGGGUUUGACGGGUAGCCGGCCUUAGAGGGUGACCGGCCACAUGGGGACUAAGAUACGGCCCAGACGCCUACGGGAGGCAGCAGGGGAGAAUAUUGCACAAUGGGCGGAAGCCUGAUGCAGCAACGCCGCGUGCGUGAUGACGGCCUACGGGUGGUAAACCGCUGUCGCAUGUGACGAAGCGGGAGUGACGGUAAUGGGUAAAGAAGCACCGGCUAACUACGUG